rnacentral:rRNA from 1 species
UACGAAGGGGGCUAGCGUUGCUCGGAAUUACUGGGCGUAAAGGGCGCGUAGGCGGAUGUCUAAGUUGGGGGUGAAAUCCCGGGGCUCAACCUCGGAACAGCCUUCAAUACUGGAUAUCUUGAGUUCGGGAGAGGUGAGUGGAAUGCCGAGUGUAGAGGUGAAAUUCGUAGAUAUUCGGCGGAACACCAGUGGCGAAGGCGACUCACUGGCCCGAUACUGACGCUGAGGCGCGAAAGCGUGGGGAGCAAACAGGG